rnacentral:rRNA from 1 species
GGCGUGCUUAAUACAAGCAAGUCGAACGCUCUUUCCUUCCGAAGUGCUUGCACUCAAUUGGAAAGAGGAGUGGCGGCGGGGUGAGUAACACGUGGGUAACCUACCCAUCAGAGGGGGAUAACACUUGGAAACAGGUGCUAAUACCGCAUAACAGUUUAUGCCGCAUGGCAUAAGAGUGAAAGGCGCUUUCGGGUGUCGCUGAUGGAUGGACCCGCGGUGCAUUAGCUAGUUGGUGAGGUAACGGCUCACCAAGGCCACGAUGCAUAGCCGACCUGAGAGGGUGAUCGGCCACACUGGGACUGAGACACGGCCCAGACUCCUACGGGAGGCAGCAGUAGGGAAUCUUCGGCAAUGGACGAAAGUCUGACCGAGCAACGCCGCGUGAGUGAAGAAGGUUUUCGGAUCGUAAAACUCUGUUGUUAGAGAAGAACAAGGACGUUAGUAACUGAACGUCCCCUGACGGUAUCUAACCAGAAAGCCACGGCUAACUACGUGCCAGCAGCCGCGGUAAUACGUAGGUGGCAAGCGUUGUCCGGAUUUAUUGGGCGUAAAGCGAGCGCAGGCGGUUUCUUAAGUCUGAUGUGAAAGCCCCCGGCUCAACCGGGGAGGGUCAUUGGAAACUGGGAGACUUGAGUGCAGAAGAGGAGAGUGGAAUUCCAUGUGUAGCGGUGAAAUGCGUAGAUAUAUGGAGGAACACCAGUGGCGAAGGCGGCUCUCUGGUCUGUAACUGACGCUGAGGCUCGAAAGCGUGGGGAGCAAACAGGAAAAGAUACCCUGGUAGUCCACGCCGUAAACGAUCCUUUGUGGGAGUUGGAGGGUUUACGCACUUCAUUGCUG